rfam:Picea glauca, whole genome shotgun sequence.
UGCCUACAACAUAGUGUUAAUGCAUCGGAUCCCAUUAGAACUGGACAGUUAAGCAUCCUUAGGCUAGAGUAGUACUGGGCUAGGUGACUACUCGGGAAUUCCUACUAUUUUAGAUGC